AACGAACGCUGGCGGCAUGCCUAACACAUGCAAGUCGAACGAAGGCUUCGGCCUUAGUGGCGCACGGGUGCGUAACGCGUGGGAAUCUGCCCUUGGGUUCGGAAUAACAGUGAGAAAUUACUGCUAAUACCGGAUGAUGACUUCGGUCCAAAGAUUUAUCGCCCAAGGAUGAGCCCGCGUAAGAUUAGCUAGUUGGUGAGGUAAAGGCUCACCAAGGCGACGAUCUUUAGCUGGUCUGAGAGGAUGAUCAGCCACACUGGGACUGAGACACGGCCCAG
rnacentral:rRNA from 1 species